rnacentral:rRNA from 1 species
UACGUAGGUGGCAAGCGUUAUCCGGAAUUACUGGGCGUAAAGCGCACGUAGGCGGCUUUGUAAGUUAGAGGUGAAAGCCCGGGGCUCAACUCCGGAACUGCCUUUAAGACUGCAUCGCUUGAAUCCGGGAGAGGUGAGUGGAAUUCCGAGUGUAGAGGUGAAAUUCGUAGAUAUUCGGAAGAACACCAGUGGCGAAGGCGGCUCACUGGACCGGUAUUGACGCUGAGGUGCGAAAGCGUGGGGAGCAAACAGG